GGCAAGUCUGGUGCCAGCAGCCGCGGUAAUUCCAGCUCCAAUAGCAUAUAUUAAAUUUUGUUGCAGUUAAAAAGCUCGUAGUUGGAUCUCGGAACAGGGAAUAACUGGUCUGCCGGUUGGUAUGUACUGUUGUUCCCGUUCUCUACUGAUGGAAACUUAUCUCUACUCUUAAAUGAGCGGAGAGUAGAUCAGUAGAAUGAAUGUUGUUUUCGAACUCAUUCAUUCAAUUACUCCUACUUUUGUAAGUUCCAUCUCAUUUACUUUGAAUAAAUUAGAGUGUUUAAAGCAGGCGAUUUUUUGCCAUUGAAUACAUUAGCAUGGGAUAAUAGAAUAGGACUUCGGUUCUAUUUUUAUUGGUUUUUAGAACUGAAGUAAUGAUUAAUAGGGAUAGUUGGGGACAUUGGUAUUUAAUUGUCAGAGGUGAAAUUCUUGGAUUUAUGAAAGACUAACUUCUGCGAAAGCAUUUGUCAAGGAUGUUUUCAUUAAUCAAGAACGAAAGUUAGGGGAUCGAAGACGAUCAGAUACCGUCGUAGUCUU
rnacentral:rRNA from 1 species